GGCCCAAUGGUCUAGUAGCAUGAUUGUCGCUUCGGGUAACUCCCACCUUUACGGGUACUUGUGACAGGUCCCGGGUUCAAUUCCCGGUUGGGCCC